rnacentral:tRNA from 1 species
GGGGCAGUAGCUCAGCUGGUUAGAGCAGCGGACUCAUAAUCCGCCAGCCGUCGGUUCAAGUCCGACCUGCCCCA